GUCCAAAACGCGUUUCGCCUGAUAUACAGGCUUCCUCAGUUGGCUCUGUGUUGUUUCCUUUCUAUUAGGACAACACAGAGCCAACUGAGGAAGCCUGUAUAUCAGGAGAAACGCAUUUUGGAC